UACGUAGGGACCAAGCGUUGUUCGGAUUUACUGGGCGUAAAGGGCGCGUAGGCGGCAAAUUAAGUCAUCUGUGAAAUCUCCGAGCUUAACUCGGAACGGUCAGGUGAUACUGAUCUGCUAGAGUGCGGAAGGGGCAAUCGGAAUUCUUGGUGUAGCGGUGAAAUGCGUAGAUAUCAAGAGGAACACCUGAGGUGAAGACGGGUUGCUGGGCCGACACUGACGCUGACAGCGCGAAAGCCAGGGGAGACGAAACGGG
rnacentral:rRNA from 1 species